rnacentral:rRNA from 1 species
GGCUCACCCGGUGCAAGUCUGUAGGCUGGAAGUGUUGUCAAAUGCGCGCUUCCAAGGCCGAGAGGUGAUGCCGUGACUUUACAGUCUAAAGCGGUUGAUCCCAUGCUGCCAAGAAAAGCUUCUAAGUAUAUCGCAUGCAAACCGUACCGCAAACCGACACAGGUAGGCG